CCCGGUCUACCCUCUUCUUCUUUAAAAAAAAAAAAGUGUAAAUCACGAAGGACGAUCCCGCCCAUUCCCUGGAAUGGUUGAGGGCAGCGGGAGGCGGGAGGACUAAGAAUGUUUAUAGUGAACUGGAAAGCCAUUGCAGAAGGUGGCUGUCCGUCAAAGGCGCCGUGGCUGCUGGGCAGGGUUUCUGGCUCCUGGUGUAUGAACUGAGCAGAGUCUGAUUCCAGCGGCUGCCAGAGACACUGAGAGAUCAAUAGAUAUGCAUCAUGCUCUCAGUCUGAGCCUUCGGAUUAUCAGAGAUAAUUUCACAGUGGUGAAGUCCCACUCCAUGAUGUUGUACAUAUCAAGGCAAAAAGCAAAUUUCAGUGACUUUUCUUAUUAAAGUUCAAAAUGGAUCCUGAGACAACUGGAAAAAAAACAAAACAAUACAUUUGCCCCAAGAAAUACAAAAGAAUGUGCAGCACAGCAGUGGUUCAAGAAGCUUUGCAGAGGAGCUGAGAGCCCUCAGUGCAGACAAGAACCAACUGAGAGAUGCCGCUGAAGCUGAUCCUCUUAGGACCUUGAGAAAUUGCCAAAGAUCCAAUGUGGACUGCUCAACUGCUGCCCAACAUUUGAAGCAGAUUGGAACGAUGAAGAGGUUUGAUGAGCAGGUACCUCAUUAGCUGAACAUCAACAAAAAAAAUGUAAAUUAAUCUUUUGAACUAUUGUCCCCUUUUAAGCUAGGCAGCACCAUUUCUGAGUUGGGGGUACAACAGAAAAUAGAUUGUAUGUGACUUCCGGUGAAAUUCCAACAUGCUUCCAAAAGCCAGGCACCAGGAAAAGCUCUGCCCACCACAGAGCUCUGAAUCCUAGUGAUAUCAUUAUACCUGAGAAUUGCCCAGCAAAUUGAUGAAAUGCACUGAAUAUUGCAGUCCCUGCUUUGGUCAACAGAAGAAUCACAAUUGUCCACGACACCCAGACUGCAUGUCACACAACUAAAAAGGUUGAAUCGAUUGAGCUUCGAAGACCUCCCUCGUCUACUGUGUUUAUCUGUCCUCUCCCCAACACCACCACUUCUUCAAGCACCCAGACAACUUUUCCUGGAUAAGAAAGUCUUCCACAACUAGCAGG